UACGAAGGGGGCUAGCGUUGUUCGGAAUUACUGGGCGUAAAGGGCUCGUAGGCGGCCAACUAAGUCAGACGUGAAAUCCCUCAGCUUAACUGAGGAACUGCGUCUGAUACUGGAUGGCUUGGAUUCGGGAGAGGGAUGCGGAAUUCCAGGUGUAGCGGUGAAAUGCGUAGAUAUCUGGAGGAACACCGGUGGCGAAGGCGGCAUCCUGGACCGAUAUUGACGCUGAGGCGCGAAAGCUAGGGGAGCAAACGGG
rnacentral:rRNA from 1 species